GACGAACGCUGGCGGCGUGCUUAACACAUGCAAGUCGAACGCUGAGGCUCAGCUUUUGUUGGGUGGAUGAGUGGCGAACGGGUGAGUAUCACGUGAGGAACCUGCCCCCUUCUUUGGGAUAACGCCCGGAAACGGGGGCUAAUACUGGAUAUUCACUUGUCUUCGCAUGGGGGUUGGUGUAAAUGGUGUUCCUGGUGUGGGAUUGGUUCGCGUCCGAUCUGCUUGUUGUGGGGGUGAUGGCCUACCAAGGCUUUGGCGGGUAUCCGGCCUGAGAGGGUGACCGGUGAAAUUGGGAGUGAGAUAGGGCCCAGACUGCUACAGGAGGCAGCAGUGGGGAAUAUUGCACGAUGGGCGCAAGGAUGAUGGCGGGACGCCGGGUGAGGGAUGGAGGCCUUCGGGUUGUGAACCUCUGUCGAUCAUGGUCAAGCAGCAACAAUUGUUGUGGUGAGGGUAGUGUGUACAGAAGCGCCGGCUAACUACGUG
rnacentral:rRNA from 1 species